rnacentral:lncRNA from 10 species
GAAGAAACAUCCUCAAUGUCCAACAAUAGGCAAGUGGCUACAUUAAACUGAGGUUUAGCCAGAUCAUGAAAUACCAGGCCAGGCCGGGCACGGUGGCUCAUGCCUGUAAUCCCAGCACUUUGGUUCCCCAUCCUUUGUGGCAGGAGUGAAAUCACACCAAUUGCUGUUUUCAGGUUCCACUAGUGUCUCCUUAUCUUAUGCCACAGUCGGCCUGCCUGACAUUUUCUACUAGGGCAUGUCCUGAAGCUAUUCAUUUGUUUAAGCCUUAUCUCAGCUCACUGCAAGCUCCACCUCCUGGGUUCACGCCAUUCUCGUGCCUCA